AUUAAGCUCAGAUAUUGAUAAAAUUAAAAAAAAAUAAAAUAAAUAAAAAUCCUUUAUUUUGACCAUAAAUUGAUCAUAAUUGUUAGUAAUAACACACACCUUAAAACUAAUGUUAGUGAUCUUAUAACUAUUUACCUAAUCCUAAUACUAUAUCUAAGACUGAUUGCGCCAGUUAUGGUAUAUUAUUUUAUGGCAGUAGUAUUUUAAUCGAAAUGGACUGUAUUAUUAAAUCGAGGUGACGCGGGUGCUAAAUACAAACGGUAGGUUUCUGAAACGAAGGAAAGCAGCAAUUAACCUUUGAGACAGUCAAAUUCUUUCUGCAAUUUCUUCUUGUCUGCAAAUGGCGCUGUUUCUUCUUCUUAAGUUCCUUGUCUCCAAAAGCUCGACGCAGAAUCACUUCACCUUUGUUAUUCGGCACAAUCAUAUAGAAAGUUUUAUGAGGGUCCCAAGACUUCCGCAAUGAACACACUCGAGAAUACGUUAAUUUAAAUUAUUUUAUAAAGUUUCGAGCACGACACUUGCGUCCUUGAUUUUUGCGAAGUGUGUGGCCAUUGUUGUAGCUUUUUUAAUUUAGUCCAUUGUUAUGUCAA